UCCAGAGCACCUUCCUGUUUCUUUUAAAGAACAUACAACAUUAGACAGAAGUAUUUUGAAGGCAAGAAACUUCACAUCCAAGAUGUCUAAUACAGCAAUUUUGCCAAAAUCAGGGGUUUCCUGUCUUUAAUUUCUUUUGCUUUCUAUAAAAUUUUAGGCAUGCUGAGCUCAAAGAAAGAAUGAAGGGCUGAACUGUGAUCCUUCCAGAAAAACGAAAACAAAUGAAGCAAGAUAAAUGAAGCUAAUGGGUAUAUGUGUGCUCAGAUGUGUCCAACUCUUUGUGACCCCAUGGACCAUAGCCCACCAGGAUUCUCUGUCCAUGGAACUUUUCAGGUUCCUAAUCCCAAGGCCCAGAAAGACAAAGGAAUUUAUUCCUCACUUCCUAGUGCUCAUUCAAGACCUUGGACCAGCCUCCCCUUUUCAAAGGAAAAACUCCAAGAUUCCUGAUGACUCGUGCUUCCUGCCUGGUGUCAUGGAGACCAGAGUCCAUAAUCUUUCUAGAGUUUCCUUCCCACUUUCCCUCACCUACUGCCCCUCAACCCCAGGUUGUAGUCAGGAUCAACGCCACCCACUUAUGCUCAACAUUUUGCUGGUGGACUCAAGGAUAUGGCAAAGAGAGCAAGAUGCAG
ensembl:lncRNA